GUAUAUGAGGUGAUUAAUUGGAGGGCAAAUCAAGUGCCAGCAGCCGCGGUAAUACUUGUUCCAAGAGUGUGUAUGAUGAUUGAUGCAGUUAAAAAGUCCGUAGUUUAUUUUUUUAAGAAGCAAUAUGAGGUGUACUGUAUAGUUGGGAGAAAGAUGAAAUGUGACGACCCUGACUGGACGAACAGAAGCGAAAGCUGUACACUUGUAUGUAUUUUUUGAACAAGGACGUAAGCUGGAGGAGCGAAGAUGAUUAGAUACCAUUGUAGUUCCAGCAGUAAACUAUGCCGACGAUGUGAUAUGAAAAUGUUAAUUUGUAUUACAUAAUAGAAAUUUGAGUUUUUUGGCUCUGGGGAUAGUAUGACCGCAAGAUUGAAAAUUAAAGAAAUUGACGGAAGAAUACCACAAGGAGUGGAUUGUGCGGCUUAAUUUGACUCAACGCGAGGUAACUUACCAAUAUUUUAUUAUCUUGAGAGAACGGUUUUUUGUUUGAGAAUGAUAAUAGUGGUGCAUGGCCGUUUUCAAUGGAUGCUGUGAAGUUUUGAUUAAUUUCAACAAGACGUGAGACCCUUAUUUUUUUAUUAAAGACAGACACAAUCAGUGUAGGAAGGAAAGGAUUAAAACAGGUCCGUUAUGCCCUCUGACAUUUUGGGCUGCACGCGCAAUACAUAGAUAUA
rnacentral:rRNA from 1 species